GUACCAUGAACAGGUCUAUCUUCCAUGCACAACAUCUACAUUAAAAAUCAACCAGAAAAAAAAUAUUUUUUGUAAUAUUGACUUUUCUAAAAUAGUAUCAUUUAUACUGUGAAAUUUUUUUAUUUUUAAAUAUAUACAACCCACACUUUUAAAAAUACUAUAAACUUUUUUUUUUAUAUAGGAUUAUAUACAAACAAGUUCUACUCUCCUUUUUCCUUUUAUUCUUCUUCAUCAUGAUCUUAUUCCAUUGAUUCUCUCUUGCUUCUCUACAAGAAAAUCACCAACACUUUCACAUAGUAAUUAAUGACGUCACAGGAUCUGAAAGAAUCCAACUUGCCGCUGACACCGAUUGUUUAUUUCGAUGGAUUUUCAGGUGGAUCUUGAGGUGUUUCUAUCCAAAAAGUCUUGGUUGUAUAACUAUUUAAUUUGAUUUGUGGGAAAUGAUUUAUUGGUGUUUGAUUCAAAUUUU